UGUUAUUCUGAGGUUCGGUUGGGAUUUCAGAGAGAGAGAGAGAGAGAGAGAGAGAUCGUGUAACCUGUUAUUCUGAGGUUCGGUUGGGAUUUCAUUAGUAAAUCUUUGUUGGGCCGAGGUUCGGUUUGAAACUGUUUCUUUGAAACCCUUAUCGUCUUUAUGACUUAAUUAGUUUGUAAUACUUUUGACAAUCAACAGACAACCUUGAUAUUUUUGAGAUGCUUUCUUGCUAAGCUUGCAAUGCAAUGAUGGUUGUCGGGGAGCACCUAUGUUACAAAUGAAGAGUUUUGAGUGGGUUUCAGAUGCACCAUUUAUUGCUGGUACUCUGAAACCACCCUUUUUUUAGAGAUUUGCCGUGUGAGGCUACACUCUUGAUGUCUUAUCUGGAGUAUUGAUUCUUGAUUUUUUACCAUCCAACGAAUUCAAUCGUUGAUAAAGAUGAGCUAUAAAAAUUUAAAGGUUUUCACAUCCCGCCAUACUAUGUUUGUCUUUGUUUCCCCCAUAAAAUUUCUUUUCGUUGUUCCGUGGAGAUGUUUUUCCAUUCCCUUUUGUUUCUAGGAGUUAAUCACUGUAUUUAUGACUAAGAGAAACCUUUCCUUUCUCUUCCCUCUUAUAUUUUUACUGCUUUUGUUGCUUUUUGGUAGAGAAGUUAGGUUGUUUUUUUUGUAGUUAAACCCAUUGAUAAAGAGGAUCAUACCUAUGCUCGUACAUUAGUA
rnacentral:lncRNA from 1 species